UUUUUAUAUAUCAUGGUCUGAAGUAUAUUUUCUUUAAGAAAUGAUUUUACCUUUUAAAAUACAUUUAAAAGAUUAGAAGAUUCAAAACUAAUUACAUGUGAAAAUUAUUUCAUCUUUUUAAAUGUGUGUGUGGUUUGUGUGUAGAUUGCUUUAAGUUUCUUAGUGCAUUCAAGAAGAAUGUUAAUGAUGUUGUAUUGUGUAUAAAAGAACAGAGACCAGGGCAAAUUUGUCACAAGACAGAAAAGCAGUAAAAAAACAAACAAAAAAAAAAACCAAACCAAACCAAAACAAAAACAAAACUUUUAGAACUAUUUAUAAAUGUUUGAUAUUUUCUAAAUAUUUGCUAUCUACAACUGAAUCACUAUUCUAUGUCUCAGUUGGUCACUUGUUACCAAACUAAAUUGUCAUCCCUCUGAUUGAGCAGUGUGUGUGCGUUCUGGGGGGGCAGUAGUUUUACACAGAUCAAGUAGCAAGACAAAGAGGAGAUCUUUAAUUGAGCAACUGUUACUCUGAGUUUCAGUUCAGACAAAAUCACUAGAUGAUUGAAACUCACAAAGGAAGGCACACAUAAUGCCAUCUUCCCCGAGUGAUGCCCAGCUUUUACAGGUGCCAGCGAGGACACAGACACCUGCAGAAGACUCUUCAGUGCCAAAACUACCUUCUUAGAGUUCUCUCAAAUUCAAUUCCAUGAAGGCUUUGCUCUCCCCAACACCCCUACACACACACACACACACACACACACACACACUUUCAUUUUAUUUUUAAGACACAGCCUCUCUCUGUGGAGCCCCAGCUGUUACCGAACCCAUGAACCUCUUUGCUUCAGCCUCCUGAGUGCUGGGAUCAUAGGCACACACUCCUGAGUGCUGGGAUCAUAGGCACACACUUCUGUGCCCAGCUUUUAAAGUGUGUUACUGCAUGUGAAUGUUCGCUUAGAAAUGCUGUACUUGGGAGGAUGCUUUGUUAUUUUUGUACAACUAAUUAUGGAUCAGUUUUUAUUAGAAGAGGCGUAGAAUUGGAAGCUGCUUAGAAAAUUAUAAAUAUAAUUUAAGAUAUAAAUUUAAAGAAUGCAUUUAAACAUCGUGAGUGUAUUUUCAGUUGGUUUCUUUUUUUUUUUUUUGAGACUGUUGAGCCUUGGCUAAACUAACUUUUAAAAAAAUGUGUUGCUUUGAAACUUCUAGUCAAAAGCGUAGUAUCUCAAAAACUACGUCUGACUUCUUAAUUUGAGGGACAGAAGAGUUGUGCUUAAGAAGGCAUGCCUAAAUAAUUGAUUGGUCUGUUUUGUUUUGUUUUGUUUUUGCAGUCACUGGGAAGUACAAAUUAGUCUGGGGGAAUAUUCAACAAUAUAAUAAACACAUAAAAGCAAGCAAAUAGCAUAUAUCUACCAGUAAAGACAACUCUCCCCUUCUUCUUAUUUAUUGCAUUAAACCAUUUGAAGCUUUUUGCUCUAUAAUUUGACUUGGUGCUUACAAACUUAUAAUUUUCGUUUGAUGGCGUGGGUUCUAUUUUAGGCAGCAAAUGGCGGAGUGUCCUGAAUUAUUUUUAAGGUUUUACUUGUCCUGUUUUGAUUAUGGAUUUUAGUCUGGUUGCUUCACAAAAUACGGGAAAGAAAUUAUUUUUUUUUUAUUACAGAAAACCUUAGGUUCUGUCGCUUUCACUGUCAAAGAAGAGAAAAAAAUUAUAAUAAUGUGUCUUCAAUCUAGUUCAGAGUUGGGUGGCAUGUUGAUGCUGGAUAAGGAGAGCAGAAACAGGUGCUUCUGUGGAAAGGGCCAUCAUGUCCACAAGCCAACCCUAAGUCCAUGGUUAGACAUCGCCUCCCGAAUAGUGAUAGCCAGCCCCCUUCCUCCACCCCUACCCCGACCCCCAAGCAAUAAUUUUGUAUUGUUGCUUAUUCUUGCACCUUCUAAUUGUUUAGGUCUCUUAUGUUUUUAUUUCCUAAAAUGCAAACACUUAGUUACAGUUUUCCUGGUCUGUUAAAGUGGGCGUUUUAAGUUCAGUGCUUUACCUAGCAAAUAGAAACACUUGUGUGAACUUUUGCAACCAAAGGGAUGUUUGCAAUUUAUCUCAUUGCUGUGUAUUUACUUAAUACAUAUGGAAGUGUGAAUUGACUUAACAAUUCUUAAAGAUUUUUUUGUGAUCUGGUACUGUUAUGAACACGGUACUAGAGAGCAUUGUGGUAAGGUGUAGCUCUUGUGACUGCAUCUUAAGUUCAUACAGUAAUAAAGCUAUUAUGGCCUCUACGACAGAAAUUUUACUUUUUUAAAGUGAGAUUUGGAAAGGGGGGGGGGAUGAGUUCUUUUCUCAUCUGAGGAAGCUUAGUCUUAGAGAAAUGGAGUCAUUUGUCUAAGGCAGAUAAAUAGAUUCACUAGCAGGGAAGAACCCAGGCCAGAGGUCCAUCACAAUUCACACUUAAUCAGGGAGGGCCCAGAUCCCAUCAGGAAUGAUAGAACUUGUUUGUCAAGUGCCCAAACUUGCAACUGCUUCAUUCUUACCCUGGUCCAAAUGAUCUGAUCUUCUGCGCUACACUAUUUUUAUAAGAAACAUAAUUAGAGAUAGGCACAAUUUUUUAUUAUUUUAUUUUUUGGUUUUUCAAGGCAGGGUUCCUGUGUGUGACAGCACUGAGUGUCCUGGAACUCACUUUGUACACCAGGCUGGCCUCAAACUCACUGAGAUCCACCCACCUCUGCCUCUGAGUGCUGGGAUUAAAGGCAUAGAGACAAGCAAGUCAUUUUAAAAGCAGCAUUGAUCCUUGCUUUAUUUCUGCUUGCCGUAGACAAGAGAGUGGGGCAUUUAUCCAGGGAGGUGUUUGGUGGUUUUGUUUGGCUGCUACUUAUACUGUUUUGUUUUUUAGUGGUUACAUUCUUUGUAUUAAGAAAUAGACAGUGCUAAAAAGGACAUUCCUCACUGGGGACAGUGGCACACACACCUUUGAUCCCAGGCUAGCCUGGUCUACAUAGCAAAUUUAAGGGGAGCCAGGGCUACAUAGAGAGACCCUGUCUGUCUCAGUAGGCCAUAAAACCAAAAUAGGACAGCGGGCUCAACAUUUGAGCCACAAAUUAGGCACUGACUUUGGUUCUGGUCAACGUUGUAUCACCUUUCUGCAAAGUUGAAGAAUUCACCUGGUGGGCUUCUCCAAGCUCAGCCUGUUGCAGGAGGCAGUGCUGUGUUUUGACUUGUUUCCUUGGUGGGAGCUGCCAGUCUUUCUUCCUCUGCUUCAUUUUCUGUGUGAAGAAGGACUUUGACCCCUGCUUUGAGUAUAAAUGAAGGUAUGCCAUGAAUGGAGUCAAGUUCUUAAUGACAUACUCAGGAACUGAGCUGGUGUGCAGUGCCCUUCAUCUCUGAACUGUAAUGUUCUCCUGAACUCACCAUUUGGUUUCCUUUUGUUGACUCUCAUGGUAGUGGUGGUGGGACAGAGGGUGGAAUUAUC
rnacentral:lncRNA from 1 species